AUUGAACGCUGGCGGAAUGCUUUACACAUGCAAGUCGAACGGCAGCACGGACUUCGGUCUGGUGGCGAGUGGCGAACGGGUGAGUAAUACAUCGGAACGUGCCCAGUCGUGGGGGAUAACGUAGCGAAAGCUACGCUAAUACCGCAUAAGAUCUAUGGAUGAAAGCGGGUGAUCGCGAGACCUCGCGCGAUUGGAGCGGCCGAUGGCAGAUUAGGUAGUUGGUAGGGUUAAGGCCUACAAAGCCGACGAUCUGUAGCUGGUCUGAGAGGACGACCAGCCACACUGGGACUGAGACACGGCCCUGACUCCUACGGGAGGCAGCAGUGGGGAAUUUUGGACAAUGGGCGAAAGCCUGAUCCAGCCAUUCCGCGUGCAGGAUGAAGGCCCUCGGGUUGUAAACUGCUUUUGUACAGAACGAAAAGGCUCUGGUUAAUACCUGGGGCUCAUGACGGUACUGUAAGAAUAAGCACCGGCUAACUACGUGCCAGCCGCCGCCGUAA
rnacentral:rRNA from 1 species